rnacentral:rRNA from 1 species
AUUGAACGCUGGCGGCAGGCCUAACACAUGCAAGUCGAACGAGUGGCGGACGGGUGAGUAAUGUCUGGGAAACUGCCCGAUGGAGGGGGAUAACUACUGGAAACGGUAGCUAAUACCGCAUACUAUCGGAUGUACCCAUAUGGGAUUAGCUAGUUGGUGGGGUAACGGCUCACCUAGGCGACGAUCCCUAGCUGGUCUGAGAGGAUGACCAGCCACACUGGGACUGAGACACGGUCCAGACUCCUACGGGAGGCAGCAGUGGGGAAUAUUGCACAAUGGGCGCAAGCCUGAUGCAGCCAUGCCGCGUGUAUGAAGAAGGCCUUAGGGUUGUAAAGUACUUUCAGCGGGGAGGCGUUACCCGCAGAAGAAGCACCGGCUAACUCCGUGCCAGCAGCCGCGGUAAUUC